ensembl:miRNA
CCUGCCUGCAGAAAGGAGCUUUCUACUCCAGGUGUCGUCUCUGCUGAGAGCUGGACACUUGUUGGGAUGACCUGCCUGCAGAUAGG